rnacentral:rRNA from 1 species
CAUCCCGCGUGAAGGAUUAAGGUCCUAUGGAUUGUAAACUUCUUUUCUCUGGAAAUAAAAACUGGGGUUCUCCCCAGCCUGAAGGUACCAGAGGAAUAAGCACCGGCUAACUCCGUGCCAGCAGCCGCGGUAAUACGGAGGGUGCAAGCGUUAUCCGGAUUCACUGGGUUUAAAGGGAGCGUAGGUGGCUUUGUAAGUCAGUGGUGAAAGCUCGGAGCUUAACUCCGGAACUGCCAUUGAUACUGCUUAGCUUGAAUCGGUUCGAGGCGGAUGGAAUGUGACAUGUAGCGGUGAAAUGCUUAGAUAUGUUACAGAACACCAAUUGCGAAGGCAGUUCGCCAGACCCGUAUUGACACUGAGGCUCGAAAGCGUGGGGAUCAAACAGGAUUAGAUACCCUGGUAGUCCAAGGGCG